AAACGGGCGGGCGCGCGCCGCGGAGGGCGGACGGAUCUGGCACGCGUUCUCGCGUGGGUCGCCCUAGUCCCUCAGGGCGGGUGUGUUGGACAUCCAGAAGACGGCUUUCCGACCCAUUGAGUUAGGAACUCUGUCCCAACCCCGCCUGGGACCUAUGGCCUUCAUCACAAAUGGUGGAGUUGGAAGGAAGUUCUUGAGAUGAGAAAAUUGUACAGAAGAGCAAAAAAGUGACUCUCAGGUAUUUGGGGGAUCCAUAUACUAAAAAUGUUUUGGGAGCAAUGGAGAUGGCUCAGCAGGUAAGGACACUUGCCACCAAACCUGAUGGCCUGAAUUUAAUUCCCAGAACUCAACGUGGUGAAAGAAGAGAUUGAAUUGUACUCUGACCUCUAUACAAAUUCACAUACAUACAUUAAUAAAUGUGAAAUUUUAAUAAAAAUGAGGACAUGAUGGCUCUAAA